rnacentral:rRNA from 1 species
GAGCGGCGAACGGGUGAGUAACACGUGGGCAACCUGCCCUCAGCUCUGGGAUAACUCCAAGAAAUUGGUGCUAAUACCGGAUAUUCAUUCAGCCUCGCAUGGGGUUGUGUGGAAAGUUUUUCGGCUGGGGAUGGGCCCGCGGCCUAUCAGCUUGUUGGUGGGGUAAUGGCCUACCAAGGCGACGAUCUAUAGCUGGUCUGAGAGGAUGAUCAGCCACACUGGGACUGAGACACGGCCCAGACUCCUACGGGAGGCAGCAGUGGGGAAUAUUGGACAAUGGGCGCAAGCCUGAUCCAGCCAUGCCGCGUGUGUGAAGAAGGCCUUUUGGUUGUAAAGCACUUUAAGCGAGGAGGAG